GCUGGUUAGUACAAGUAAAAUAGGUGUUAUAAUCCAAUUCAUAGUAAAGGCUUAUUUUAUCUUUAACUGUAAUUGUAUUGUAAUUUCUUGUAGUUAAUAUAAAUUAAAAGUAAUAAUUCUAUGAUAGUUUAAUAAGCAUUUUAAACAUUAUCUUUACAAAGUUAGUUACUUGCCAAAUUAAAUUAUUACACGUCAUAAUUUAAUUCAUAACACAUUAUAAUUUCCCCAAUGUGUGAUUUGUGACUGACUGAAUGAAUUGUUGUACUGUUUGUGUACUACAGACGGUAAGGUGUAUGCCAUGUGGUCUUGGGAGGGCGCCGCCAUGCGCUUGAUAAGCUGCAUACCAUAUAUAUGGCACUAAAUUAUCAGUACACAUGCUGGAUCAUCAGAACAAACUCGCAACACUCUGAAUAAAAGAUUGAACCCCA